UACGUAGGGAGCGAGCGUUGUCCGGAUUUAUUGGGCGUAAAGCGCGCGUAGGCGGUUUGGUAAGUCGGGUGUGAAACCUCCAAGCUUAACUUGGAGCUGCCACUCGAAACUGUCAUGACUUGAGUUCGGUAGGGGAACACGGAAUUCCAGGUGUAGCGGUGAAAUGCUUAGAUAUCUGGAGGAACACCAGUGGCGAAGGCGGUGUUCUGGGCCGAUACUGACGCUGAUGCGCGAAAGCGUGGGGAGCGAACAGG
rnacentral:rRNA from 1 species